CCUCGAAGCCGGAGGCGGGGCUGGAGGCGGUGGCCACCGGCAGAAGCGCGCGUGUAGCGCCCGCGAGGAAUCGCAGCGUCCGGCUCCGCGGUCCGGAGCCUCCCUAGCGCAAUACGAAGCUGCCUGGGGCGCGGGGAGGAGUUUGCAGUGGGGUGAUUUUCGAAUAUCUUCACCUCACUGCGGGAGGAGGAGUUUCGAGAGGAGGAGUUUCGAACGGCCGAUGUUACAAGGGCUGUUAACCCGUGAAGCCCUGAGUCGGAUUCCAGUCUUUUCCAAACCUCGCUCCCGAAUCAUCUAAUAGGCUAAUGACCAUGGCCCCCUGUGCCUCCAAAGGGAAAACGGGACGUAUCGGAAACUUUACCGUCGCCUUUCCCUACUUGCCUUUGCCUUUCUAGGAAUCGUAUAGAGAUGUUAACCGAGUUUUCUUCAAAAUACUCAUCAGUGAGGAAUUGAAAUAAAAUCUUCACAAAAGUA